UCCAGCCUGGGCAACAAGAGAGAAACUGUCUCAAAAAAAUAAAAAUAAUAAUUUGUUGAUAUCUCAUUGAGUAUUAGAACAAAGUUUUCAUAGACAAUGCGAUCAGAGCAGUUUUGAAAUGUGAAUGUAUUUGUAAACUUUUUAAAUUGAAGAGUUUGUGGACAGUAUCACAUUAAGUCUAUUCACACUUUUGUAAAUUGAUAAUCCUACCGUAAGCUUAAUAACCCACUGGCCACACUGAAAGUAGCAAUUGUAAGAAAUAAAAUAUGUAUACUCACAGCUCCCAAAGACAGCACAGUUGGUAUUUGCUAUGUCACUUUUAUUUCCCAGUCUUCAGCAUUUCUUAUUAUUUUCUUUCUGAUCUUUUAUAUACAAGGGAUCACUCUGUAUUUAUUACAACCCCAUAUUAAUACACAAUUACCGCCUGAGCCAGGUCAGUCGGGGAGUGCAGGCUGGCCCAUUCCGGACUCUGGGCUCCUAGGCCGGGGGUGGGCCCUGCCAGGAGUGGGCGUGAGCUUCGCACGUCCUCUGAGACUACGCUGUGUUCUGUCUUUGUGGCGCGACGGGCGUGGGAGCGGGGCCUGCCCAAAGGUGGGCUGGGGUUGGAGGAAGUGGCCCGGUAGCCGCUGUGUGUCCUGAGGCCCUAAGGCCCCUGACCCCCCCGCUUGAAGCUGGCGAAGGAGCAAGGCCCAUUUUCUCUAGACAAUCGUCAUGAUCCGCUGGGCCCCCAGUGCAUCUCCUGGAAGAGCCCACUCACCCUGAACGAGCUCUUCGGUAGCCUCAGACCGUCCUUGAAGAGGAUGACUGAGACUUUAUGGGCCACGCGCUGUGUGUCUGCUCUCGGGGAACUGUCAUCAUUGACAAUAAGCACUACCUCUUCAUCCAGAAACUGGGGGAGGGUGGGUUCAGCUAUGUGGACCUAGUGGAAGGGUUACAUGAUGGACACUUCUACGCCCUGAAGGGAAUCCUGUGUCACAAGCAGCAGGACCGGGAGGAGGCCCAGCGAGAAGCCGACAUGCAUCGCCUCUUCAGUCACCCCAACAUCCUUCGCCUCGUGGCUUACUGUCUGAGGGAGCGGUGUGCUAAGCAUGAGGCCUGGCUGCUGCUACCGUUCUUCAAGAGAGGUACGCUGUGGAAUGAGAUAGAAAGGCUGAAGGACAAAGGCAACUUCCUGACCGAGGAUCAAAUCCUUUGGCCGCUGCUGGGGAUCUGCAGAGGCCUUGAGGCCAUUCAUGCCAAGGGUUAUGCCCACAGGGACUUGAAGCCCACCAAUAUAUUGCUCAGAGAUGAGGGGCAACCAGUUUUAAUGGACUUGGGUUCUAUGAAUCAAGCAUGCAUCAAUGUGGAGGGCUCCCACCAGGCUCUGACUCUGCAGGACUGGGCAGCCCAGCGGUGCACCAUCUCCUACCGAGCCCCAGAGCUCUUCUCUGUGCAGGGUCACUGUGUCAUCGAUGCGCGGACUGAUGUCUGGUCCCUAGGCUGCGUGCUAUAUGCCAUGAUGUUUGGAGAAGGCCCUUACGACAUGGUGUUCCAAAAGGGUGACAGUGUGGCCCUUGCUGUGCAGAACCAACUCAGCAUCCCACAAAGCCCCAGGCAUUCUUCAGCAUUACGGCAACUCCUGGCCUCUAUGAUGACCGUGGACCCGCAUCAGCGUCCUCACAUUCCUCUCCUCCUCAGUCAGCUGGAGGCGCUGCAGCCCCCAGCUCCUGGCCAGCAUACUACCCAAAUCUGAAAAAGCAGCAGGUUGAGAAGAUGGCCCCUCGUGCCUCGGAAAGAGGUUCCCAUCCCUCAUUGGAAACUUUACCCAUUCCAUCCAGGACUGCUCUUACACUUGGGGGUAGCGGGGUCAGGAGAAUCAUCUUAGUCCUGCAUCUGCUCUUCUGCUUUCUUCCAAGAGCAAAACCUGGGCAAGGGGCCUUACUGAGUGGGAGUGGGUGGGGGUUGGGAAAAGGGAAAUGGUGGGAUACGGGGCAUGGCUCUGAGCAGGACUGUUGAGCUCACAUAGUGUUCUGCCUCCAAAUCUGGGAGCAGGAGAAUGUAUAAACAAGAAUAAAGUGGAAGCAGAUUGGUGU